rnacentral:snoRNA from 1 species
AAGUGUCUUAGAGAAAUAUCAUAGCUUCUCUGUUCACCCUUUGCAAGUAUAAAGGGUGGAUUGUUCCACUACUGACACUU